rnacentral:tRNA from 1 species
GGAGGGGUGGUCGAGUGGUUAAAGGCAGCGGAUUGUAACUCCGCCCGCGUAAGCGUACGCAGGUUCGAAUCCUGCCCCCUCCACCA